rnacentral:rRNA from 1 species
UUAAGCGACUAAGCGUACACGGUGGAUGCCCUGGCAGUCAGAGGCGAUGAAGGACGUGCUAAUCUGCGAAAAGCGUCGGUAAGGUGAUAUGAACCGUUAUAACCGGCGAUGUCCGAAUGGGGAAACCCAGUGCAAUUCGUUGCACUAUCGUUAACUGAAUACAUAGGUUAACGAGGCGAACCGGGGGAACUGAAACAUCUAAGUACCCCGAGGAAAAGAAAUCAACCGAGAUUCCCCCAGUAGCGGCGAGCGAACGGGGAGCAGCCCAGAGUCUGAAUCAGCUUGUGUGUUAGUGGAACGGUCUGGAAAGUCCGACGGUACAGGGUGAUAGUCCCGUACACCAAAAUGCACAGGCUGUGAACUCGAAGAGUAGGGCGGGACACGUGGUAUCCUGUCUGAAUAUGGGGGGACCAUCCUCCAAGGCUAAAUACUCCUGACUGACCGAUAGUGAACCAGUACCGUGAGGGAAAGGCGAAAAGAACCCCGGCGAGGGGAGUGAAAAAGAACCUGAAACCGUGUACGUACAAGCAGUGGGAGCACCUUCGGGUGUGACUGCGUACCUUUUGUAUAAUGGGUCAGCGACUUAUAUUCUGUAGCAAGGUUAACCGUAUAGGGGAGCCGCAGGGAAACCGAGUCUUAACUGGGCGUUAAGUUGCAGGGUAUAGACCCGAAACCCGGUGAUCUAGCCAUGGGCAGGUUGAAGGUUGGGUAACACUAACUGGAGGACCGAACCGACUAAUGUUGAAAAAUUAGCGGAUGACUUGUGGCUGGGGGUGAAAGGCCAAUCAAACCGGGAGAUAGCUGGUUCUCCCCGAAAGCUAUUUAGGUAGCGCCUCGUGAAUUCAUCUUCGGGGGUAGAGCACUGUUUCGGCUAGGGGGUCAUCCCGACUUACCAACCCGAUGCAAACUACGAAUACCGAAGAAUGUUAUCACGGGAGACACACGGCGGGUGCUAACGUCCGUCGUGAAGAGGGAAACAACCCAGACCGCCAGCUAAGGUCCCAAAGUCAUGGUUAAGUGGGAAACGAUGUGGGAAGGCACAGACAGCCAGGAUGUUGGCUUAGAAGCAGCCAUCAUUUAAAGAAAGCGUAAUAGCUCACUGGUCGAGUCGGCCUGCGCGGAAGAUGUAACGGGGCUAAACCAUGCACCGAAGCUGCGGCAGCGACACUAUGUGUUGUUGGGUAGGGGAGCGUUCUGUAAGCCUGCGAAGGUGUGCUGUGAGGCAUGCUGGAGGUAUCAGAAGUGCGAAUGCUGACAUAAGUAACGAUAAAGCGGGUGAAAAGCCCGCUCGCCGGAAGACCAAGGGUUCCUGUCCAACGUUAAUCGGGGCAGGGUGAGUCGACCCCUAAGGCGAGGCCGAAAGGCGUAGUCGAUGGGAAACAGGUUAAUAUUCCUGUACUUGGUGUUACUGCGAAGGGGGGACGGAGAAGGCUAUGUUAGCCGGGCGACGGUUGUCCCGGUUUAAGCAUGUAGGCUGGUUGUCCAGGCAAAUCCGGAUAAUCAAGGCUGAGGUGUGAUGACGAGGCACUACGGUGCUGAAGUAACAAAUGCCCUGCUUCCAGGAAAAGCCUCUAAGCAUCAGGUAACAUCAAAUCGUACCCCAAACCGACACAGGUGGUCAGGUAGAGAAUACCAAGGCGCUUGAGAGAACUCGGGUGAAGGAACUAGGCAAAAUGGUGCCGUAACUUCGGGAGAAGGCACGCUGGUGUGUAGGUGAAGUCCCUGCGGAUGGAGCUGAGACCAGUCGAAGAUACCAGCUGGCUGCAACUGUUUAUUAAAAACACAGCACUGUGCAAACACGAAAGUGGACGUAUACGGUGUGACGCCUGCCCGGUGCCGGAAGGUUAAUUGAUGGGGUUAUCCGUAAGGAGAAGCUCUUGAUCGAAGCCCCGGUAAACGGCGGCCGUAACUAUAACGGUCCUAAGGUAGCGAAAUUCCUUGUCGGGUAAGUUCCGACCUGCACGAAUGGCGUAAUGAUGGCCAGGCUGUCUCCACCCGAGACUCAGUGAAAUUGAACUCGCUGUGAAGAUGCAGUGUACCCGCGGCAAGACGGAAAGACCCCGUGAACCUUUACUAUAGCUUGACACUGAACAUUGAGCCUUGAUGUGUAGGAUAGGUGGGAGGCUUUGAAGCGUGGACGCCAGUCUGCGUGGAGCCAACCUUGAAAUACCACCCUUUAAUGUUUGAUGUUCUAACGUUGGCCCCUUACCGGGGUUGCGGACAGUGUCUGGUGGGUAGUUUGACUGGGGCGGUCUCCUCCCAAAGCGUAACGGAGGAGCACGAAGGUUAGCUAAUCCUGGUCGGACAUCAGGAGGUUAGUGCAAUGGCAUAAGCUAGCUUGACUGCGAGCGUGACGGCGCGAGCAGGUGCGAAAGCAGGUCAUAGUGAUCCGGUGGUUCUGAAUGGAAGGGCCAUCGCUCAACGGAUAAAAGGUACUCCGGGGAUAACAGGCUGAUACCGCCCAAGAGUUCAUAUCGACGGCGGUGUUUGGCACCUCGAUGUCGGCUCAUCACAUCCUGGGGCUGAAGUAGGUCCCAAGGGUAUGGCUGUUCGCCAUUUAAAGUGGUACGCGAGCUGGGUUUAGAACGUCGUGAGACAGUUCGGUCCCUAUCUGCCGUGGGCGCUGGAGAA